CGUCAGAGACUAAGCAAAUUUGAAUAGACCUCUGAGUAAAUAUUUCCCUUUUGGAGUUUUCAGGACUUUCUGUCCCGCUGUUUUAUGGGGAAGGCGGGGGAAGACACGCAGACAUCAAUUCGACUAAACAAAGUUUAUCAAUAAUAUUAAAAAUAAAAAGUAAAGCCCCUUUCUGAACAUUAUGGCUUAUUCCUUGAUUAUCCUUCUUAAUGCCACAGCGUGGCUAUCUCAGAACAAAAUUAGAGACUAACAGUAAAUUUACUUUAAUUUUUACGAAUAAUUCUCUAUCAAUGUAAAAAUUUUUCAUAUACGCGUGUAUGAAAGAAAAACACUACUAUUUUUCCACAUUCGUGAAAACUGCUUAACUGGGACAGUAACCGAGCGGCCAGUGAAUAUUUAAAAUACUGUAACCGACGAAUACGUAUGCUUCUAGGACCACGUGGAAUCUUUCCCAUGGUAGGUAAGCAAAACAAAUGUGCUUCCCAGAACCCUCCAAACUGCUCGUGGGUAUAUUACUACAGAUUACAUAAUGCAGCAGCGUUCCGGGACGCAAGCCCAGGAUUUCACCAUGUUGCCCAGGCUGGUCUCAAAACUUCUGAAUUCAAGCAGUCCGCCCGCCUCUGCCUCACGCCUGUAAUCCCAGCACUUUGGGAGGCCCAGGUGGGAAGAUCACGAGGUCAGGAGCUUGAGACCAGCCUGGCCAACAUGGGGAAACCCCAUCUCUACUAAAAAUACGAAAAUUAGCCAGGCGUGGGGGCAGGUUCCUGUAAUCCCAGCUACUCAGGAGGCUGAGGCAGGAGUAUCGCUUGAAACCGGGAAGUGGAGGUUACAGUGAGCUGAGAUCACAUCGUUGCAGUCCAGCCUGGGUGACAGAGCAAGACUCC
rnacentral:lncRNA from 1 species